CAGUAGCCGCGGGAAUACGUAGGUGGCAAGCGUUGUCCGGAAUUACUGGGCGUAAAGGGCUCGCAGGCGGUUUCUUAAGUCUGAUGUGAAAGCCCCCGGCUCAACCGGGGAGGGUCAUUGGAAACUGGGAAACUUGAGUGCAGAAGAGGAGAGUGGAAUUCCACGUGUAGCGGUGAAAUGCGUAGAGAUGUGGAGGAACACCAGUGGCGAAGGCGACUCUCUGGUCUGUAACUGACGCUGAGGAGCGAAAGCGUGGGGAGCGAACAGGAUUAGAGACCCCUGUAGUCCCUGUCUCUUAUAC
rnacentral:rRNA from 1 species